rnacentral:rRNA from 1 species
GACGAACGCUGGCGGCGUGCUUAACACAUGCAAGUCGAACGGAAAGGCCUCUUUCGGGGGGUACUCGAGUGGCGAACGGGUGAGUAACACGUGAGUAACCUGCCCUUGACUUUGGGAUAACUUCAGGAAACUGGGGCUAAUACCGGAUAGGAGCUCCUGCUGCAUGGUGGGGGUUGGAAAGUUUCGGCGGUUGGGGAUGGACUCGCGGCUUAUCAGCUUGUUGGUGGGGUAGUGGCUUACCAAGGCUUUGACGGGUAGCCGGCCUGAGAGGGUGACCGGCCACAUUGGGACUGAGAUACGGCCCAGACUCCUACGGGAGGCGGCAGUGGGGAAUAUUGCUCAAUGGGUGGAAGCCUGAUGCAGCAACGCCGUGUGCGGGAUGACGGCCUUCGGGUUGUAAACCGCUUUCGCUCAUGACGAAGCUUUGUGUGACGGUAGUGGGUAAAGAAGCACCGGCUAACUACGUG